AACAAUGAAGUCAUUACAAUGUGUGACAUCAUUCAGAUACAACUGACCUGAUAGGAUGGCAGAAUGGAAUACUGAACAGACAGCUAAAGCUCAACCCAGGCAUAUCUUGCAUUGUCGAAGUGCUCUUCUACAGGAUAAAACAUAGUCACUAUAUCAGGGACCAGAAUAUGCUGCUGUGUUACUAGAAUAUGCAGGUUUCAGAACAAGUCGCAGAAACAUCUUGCCUAAACAUUUUUAAUUUUUUCUUCUCUUCCAUUUAUUUUUAGCAUAUGAUAGAUUUGAUUUCUAGUUUCUUGUGAUGGUAGUGGGGUAGGAGAAAUAGAUAAAUUUGGCUGAGAAAGACAGUAAGGGUUUUUCUUAGACUAUGACUAAUACCAAGGAACCAGAGAAUGAAGAAAGGAAUCAUUGCUCUUCCUGGGAUAAUCGACUCCAUUUAUUAGGAACUAGGGCUGCUAAUACACAGACUAAAGGGAGAUAUACAUCUGUAAUUCCGGAGAUUCACUGAAUAUCUCGUGAUGGUUCCAAUUUCAGCGAUAACUGUGAAUAGGGCAAUUCAACAACUGCAGCCUGACAGAAGCAAGGCAACUAACUCUUCAGAAACCAUGAGGAUGAAGAUCCAUGCUAUCCUACAAGGCAAACAACCAGGAGAAGCGAAAUGCCACCAGCAGGGUAGCUCUGGAACUUGUAGAGCUGAAGUGGAGAAAUCAGGCAAGUGUUGAACCUACAUGUUAAGACACUGUUCAGGUUUACUUAUGUGUGGAUUUCCUUCUGCCUCUGCCAUCCCUGAGACAGCAAAAACAACACCUCCUCUUCCUCCUCCUGUCCGGCCUGCUCAACGUGAAGGCAAUGAGGAUAAAGAUGCUUUUAUAGUGCCCCACUUCCACUUAAUGAACACUAAGUAUAUUUUCCUUAUGGUUUUCUUAAUAACAUUUUCUCUGCUGUAGCUUAUUUUAUUGUAAAAAUAUA